AACGAACGCUGGCGGCAGGCUUAACACAUGCAAGUCGAGCGAGAGGAAGGAAAGCUUGCUUUUCUGAAUCUAGUGGCGAACGGGUGAGUAACACGUAGGUAACCUGCCCAUGUGCCCGGGAUAACUUCUGGAAACGGAUGCUAAAACCGGAUAGGUAGCAGACAAGCAUUUGACUGCUAUUAAAGUGGCUAAGGCCAUGAACAUGGAUGGACCUGCGGUGCAUUAGCUAGUUGGUGAGGUAACGGCCCACCAAGGCGACGAUGCAUAGCCGGCCUGAGAGGGCGAACGGCCACAUUGGGACUGAGACACGGCCCAAACUCCUACGGGAGGCAGCAGUAGGUAAUUUUCGUCAAGGGGGGGAACCCUGAACGAGCAAUGCCGCGUGAGUGAGGAAGUUCUUCGGAUCGUAAAGCUCUGUUGUAAGAGAAAAACGACAUUCAUAGGGAAUGAUGAGUGAGUGAUGGUAUCUUACCAGAAAGUCACGGCUAACUACGUGCCAGCCGCCGCCGUAAGAC
rnacentral:rRNA from 1 species